GAGUUUGAUCCUGGCUCAGGACGAACGCUGGCGGCGUGCUUAACACAUGCAAGUCGAACGAUGAAGCCAGCUUGCUGGUGGAUUAGUGGCGAACGGGUGAGUAACACGUGGGCAACCUGCCCUCAGCUCUGGGAUAACUCCAAGAAAUUGGUGCUAAUACCGGAUAUUCUUCUUUCACCGCAUGGUGGUUGGAGGAAAGUUUUUCGGCUGGGGAUGGGCCCGCGGCCUAUCAGCUUGUUGGUGGGGUGAUGGCCUACCAAGGCGACGACGGGUAGCCGGCCUGAGAGGGUGACCGGCCACACUGGGACUGAGACACGGCCCAGACUCCUACGGGACGCAGCAGA
rnacentral:rRNA from 1 species